ACGGUGUCGGCGUCGGUGUCGGCGAAGAUGCAUCGUCGUCGGAGGCAGCAGAGAAGGAGGGAGAAUGAGAGACGGGAAGGGCAGGGAAGAGCGAGAGAGGCGCCGUCGUCGGAAACUGUGGAGGAGAGUCAGAGAAGAAAAGAAAAGAAAAAUGCAAAAAAAAAAAGUCACAGCCCAGCCUUAGGGGGAUCGGAGGCGAGGAAGGUGGGGGCGCCGGCGGCGACGCCGCUCUGUCUUCGCCGCUCUCUGGGAAGAGAAAAAAAAAGAACGAGAAAAAAAAGAGAAAAGAAAAGGGUAUAAGGGCACCUCCGCUCCGCCUUCGCCGCUCUCUGGGAAGAAAAAGAAAAAAGAACGAGAGAAAAAAAGAGGAGAGAGAAAGAGGAAAGAGAAAAAGGUAUAAGGGUAUUUUGGUCAGUUUGCUGAAAAAGAGGACCGAAUCUGCAAAAGCCAAAAAGAUGG
rnacentral:lncRNA from 1 species